CGCCUGCCGAGGCAGUGCCCCUACCCGAUACGGUACCGUGUCCAGCAAUCAGGUCCCUGGUACCUUUAGGUCUCGGCAGUAGGGUAGCAGCACGGGGGCAGUAACGCCCCAACGAGAACCUAGAGCUCCCUUGCUCCCGCCGUAGCUCCUGCCGACCGCCGCACCACCCUACCUCCUCUUGCCGCUGCACCACCUAGCUCCCGCCGUAGCUCAAGCACGAGCUAGACCACCAGUUCAUUCGAGAAAAAAAAAGGCGGCGGGGAGAUAACUAAGUGUCUGGAAAAGAACUUGAGGUCGCAGGCAUCCAAGGGUGAAGCCCUUCUCAAGCGGCUAUUGGAACUCGUGGGCCUAGGCUACGGCGACUCCGACGACGGGUCCCCCCUCCAACCGCGAGAACCGGGCCUCCUAAGUUUACCACUUAGACCAAUUAGCCCUCCGUGGACCUACCUGGUUUUCCCCUUCGCACUCCGACUCAAGGAUUCUUACAACCCUCCUAGCCAAGGAUACUGUUAAAACUGACUAGUUUUGUCUCGUUACCUCCACCGUUAGUCGGCCUAAAAAGGUGUUUGACACGUAUACAUCACGUUCACCGUGUAGAACUUCUUCCGAUUCCCCACGUACUCCUGUGACACGUGUUUCUUCUUGUUCAAGUCUCGACUCAAGGUAUUUUACCGCUUGGUGUACGACUGUCAUAUAGACAUCUACUCAAGUUCAGUCAGACCCGAUACAACGAACUAUUUAUAUUGGAGUCCGUCGUGGACAUGUACUGUGUCUAAAUACUAUAUUCUCUUUUCACCCGCUUCGGAAUAAAGUUCCCGCACAAGACAAGACCCGAUACAUCGUGUACUUGACCGUUUUACCCGGUAUAAACGGGGAGGAUCAUACCGCUUCUACUGUUCGUGGGUUACCUCACUCUCCCACUUGGUAUACGACUUCUAUACGCACGGCGGUCGGUCGGGCUACGUGUACAAACAGUUCGUCAUAUACUCUGAAGUCAAACUGUCCCUCUCUCUCCUCUCGAUACUCCUCUUUUUUUGAUACUAACCACCACAACACUCCUCAUGUUUGGAACUCUAGCUCUCUGUACGCUCGUUCAACAUGGGUUCUCGGUACAGUGACUCGAACUCUUUCCAGCUGUCAUAGACUGUUGGGUGUUAUUACGAAGUUUCGCUCUCUCUAACUCGUCCCACCACAUACUCAAGUACUCAUUCCUGUCUCCAAGGGUUAAACUCACGCUCACACCCGUAAAACUUGUGUGUCCGUACGAUACAACAGUACACUUUCCCUCCUGUCACCGCACAUGUAACACGUGAUGCCGGCGCUCAAGUGACCCAACACGGUGGCCAGUGGCGACUCGUCCCAUUCUACGUUCUUAUCGUCGAACCUUCGGACCUUCUACGUCCUUGUCGUCGGAACUUCCAGUGACGGCCAUGUGGACGUGGUGUGGUCCGGAGAACCUCCCGGAGACAAGACUUCACGUAAACACAUAACACCGC
rnacentral:rRNA from 1 species